rnacentral:rRNA from 1 species
AGAGUUUGAUCAUGGCUCAGAUUGAACGCUGGCGGCAGGCCUAACACAUGCAAGUCGAGCGGUAGAGAGAAGCUUGCUUCUCUUGAGAGCGGCGGACGGGCGAGUAAUGCCUAGGAAUCUGCCUGGUAGUGGGGGAUAACGCUCGGAAACGGACGCUAAUACCGCAUACGUCCUACGGGAGAAAGCAGGGGACCUUCGGGCCUUGCGCUAUCAGAUGAGCCUAGGUCGGAUUAGCUAGUUGGUGAGGUAAUGGCUCACCAAGGCGACGAUCCGUAACUGGUCUGAGAGGAUGAUCAGUCACACUGGAACUGAGACACGGUCCAGACUCCUACGGGAGGCAGCAGUGGGGAAUAUUGGACAAUGGGCGAAAGCCUGAUCCAGCCAUGCCGCGUGUGUGAAGAAGGUCUUCGGAUUGUAAAGCACUUUAAGUUGGGAGGAAGGGCAUUAACCUAAUACGUUGGUGUCUUGACGUUACCGACAGAAUAAGCACCGGCUAACUCUGUGCCAGCAGCCGCGGUAAUACAGAGGGUGCAAGCGUUAAUCGGAAUUACUGGGCGUAAAGCGCGCGUAGGUGGUUUGUUAAGUUGGAUGUGAAAUCCCCGGGCUCAACCUGGGAACUGCAUUCAAAACUGACAAGCUAGAGUAUGGUAGAGGGUGGUGGAAUUUCCUGUAGCGGUGAAAUGCGUAGAUAUAGGAAGGAACACCAGUGGCGAAGGCGACCACCUGGACUGAUACUGACACUGAGGUGCGAAAGCGUGGGGAGCAAACAGGAUUAGAUACCCUAGUAGUCC